rnacentral:rRNA from 1 species
CCUACGGGUGGCAGCAGUGAGGAAUAUUGGUCAAUGGACGCAAGUCUGAACCAGCCAUGUCGCGUGCAGGAAGACGGCCCUAUGGGUUGUAAACUGCUUUUGUAGGAGGGUAAAUCCCGAUACGUGUAUCGGGGUGAAAGUAACCUACGAAUAAGGAUCGGCUAACUCCGUGCCAGCAGCCGCGGUAAUACGGAGGAUUCAAGCGUUAUCCGGAUUUAUUGGGUUUAAAGGGUGCGUAGGCGGUACGAUAAGUUAGCGGUGAAAACCCGGGGCUCAAACUCGGCACUGCCUUUGAUACUGUCGGGCUAGAGUGUAGUAGCGGUAGGCGGAAUGUGUGGUGUAGCGGUGAAAUGCAUAGAGAUCAUACAGAACACCGAUUGCGAAGGCAGCUUACC